UACGUAGGUGGCGAGCGUUGUCCGGAAUUACUGGGUGUAAAGGGCGUGUAGGCGGGGAUGUAAGUCAGAUGUGAAAUUCCGUGGCUCAACCACGGGCGUGCAUCUGAAACUAUGUUUCUUGAGUGCUGGAGAGGAAAGCGGAAUUCCUAGUGUAGCGGUGAAAUGCGUAGAUAUUAGGAGGAACACCAGUGGCGAAGGCGGCUUUCUGGACAGUAACUGACGCUGAGGCGCGAAAGCGUGGGGAGCAAACAGGAUUAGAUACCCUGGUAGUCCACGCCGUAAACGAUGGAUACUAGGUGUAGGAGGUAUCGACCCCUUCUGUGCCGGAGUUAACACAAUAAGUAUCCCACCUGGGGAGUACGGCCGCAAGGUUGAA
rnacentral:rRNA from 1 species